rnacentral:rRNA from 1 species
GCCUAACACAUGCAAGUCGAGGGGCAUCGGGAUUGAAGCUUGCUUCAAUUGCCGGCGACCGGCGCACGGGUGCGUAACGCGUAUGUAACCUACCUAUAACAGGGGCAUAACACUGAGAAAUUGGUACUAAUUCCCCAUAAUAUUCGGAGAGGCAUCUCUCCGGGUUGAAAACUCCGGUGGUUAUAGAUGGACAUGCGUUGUAUUAGCUAGUUGGUGAGGUAACGGCUCACCAAGGCAACGAUACAUAGGGGGACUGAGAGGUUAACCCCCCACACUGGUACUGAGACACGGACCAGACUCCUACGGGAGGCAGCAGUGAGGAAUAUUGGUCAAUGGACGCAAGUCUGAACCAGCCAUGCCGCGUGCAGGAAGACGGCUCUAUGAGUUGUAAACUGCUUUUGUACGAGGGUAAACUCACCUACGUGUAGGUGACUGAAAGUAUCGUACGAAUAAGGAUCGGCUAACUCCGUGCCAGCAGCCGCGGUAAUACGGAGGAUUCAAGCGUUAUCCGGAUUUAUUGGGUUUAAAGGGUGCGUAGGCGGUUUGAUAAGUUAGAGGUGAAAUCCCGGGGCUUAACUCCGGAACUGCCUCUAAUACUG